AUUGAACGCUGGCGGCAUGCCUUACACAUGCAAGUCGAACGGCAGCACGGGAGCAAUCCUGGUGGCGAGUGGCGAACGGGUGAGUAAAGUAUCGGAACGUGCCCAGUCGUGGGGGAUAACGUAGCGAAAGUUACGCUAAUACCGCAUACGAUCUAUGGAUGAAAGCGGGGGAUCGCAAGACCUCGCGCGAUUGGAGCGGCCGAUAUCAGAUUAGGUAGUUGGCGGGGUAAAGGCUCACCAAGCCGACGAUCCGUAGCUGGUCUGAGAGGACGACCAGCCACACUGGGACUGAGACACGGCCCAGACUCCUACGGGAGGCAGCAGUGGGGAAUUUUGGACAAUGGGCGAAAGCCUGAUCCAGCCAUGCCGCGUGCAGGAUGAAGGCCUUCGGGUUGUAAACUGCUUUUGUACGGAACGAAAAGGUUUGGCCUAAUAAGCUGAGCUCAUGACGGUACCGUAAGAAUAAGCACCGGCUAACUACGUGCCAGCCGCCGCCGUAA
rnacentral:rRNA from 1 species